rnacentral:rRNA from 1 species
UACGUAGGUGGCAAGCGUUGUCCGGAUUUACUGGGCGUAAAGAGCGCGCAGGCGGUCGUUCAAGUCGCGUGUGAAAGCCCCGGGCUCAACCUGGGAAUUGCAUUUGAGACUGAAUAGCUAGGGUGCGGAAGAGGGAAGCGGAAUUUCCGGUGUAGCGGUGAAAUGCGUAGAUAUCGGAAGGAACACCAGUGGCGAAAGCGG